ensembl:lncRNA
GUCGUUUUUCCUCCUCUCUCUCACUUUCUUCAUUCAUCACAGCACUGGAAGGUAACUGGUCAUUUCUGAAGGAUGUCUUCAACAACAAAUGGACUUGGCUUGUUCUUUAUCUUGUUUCUAUGUCAGUGUGGAGCAGGAGGCCCCGUCGUGCUCCAGCCCAGAGACCUCUUCUCCUUUCCUGGUAACACCAGUACCUCCGGUCCGGUCAUCCUGACGUGCUCCAUGGGCCCUGGCAUCAGCAUGUCCAGCUACACCAUGUACUGGUACCGACAGGUCCAAAUGGUCACCACAGUAUUAUUGGGGUCUGACUCUGUAGUUGGGGAAUACGCAUGCUAUUAAUGAGUCGAUUAACUGAUAUAAUUUAUAAAAACGUAAACCAGAAAUGUGUCUGGUGGAGGGGCGGGGCCACCUUUAUAACAUGCUGUGGUACCAACAGGUCCGCUACGGUGGCCCGGUAGAGUUCCUCAUAAAGGAAUACGAUGCCCCUACGGGCCAGUACCAGGUGACCUUGGACCCGACAGGGAACAGCUUCGUCCUGCAGGUCUCAGACCUGGUUGUGGAGGACACUGCUGUUUACUACUGCGCAGCCAG